UAGUUGUCUGCCUUGAGCCUGCCACCAUCUUCAUCUGGUAACACAAGAGGUAAGACACUGGGAAUACGAUACCAAAAGGAGUUCUCCUAUAAAAAUGGCAUCUCAUACAAUUUUGACUUUUCAGACCUCUUAACCACACAAAAUCUAGUGACUCUUCUCUUUCACAUGUUGUGAGAACUUCAGAAAGACUGCAAGGAUCACAGGUAAUAUUUAAUAAGAACUAUUACUGCAACUUAACCAAUGUGGAUAUAUCAGAGAGACCGAGUGAUAAAAUCAACACUGUUGAUCUGAAAGUCAAAAUCUCCAGGUGUCAACCCAGGCUUUUCACCGACUGUGGUUGCCUGGGUCCAGCCAGUUGGCUUUUAUGUAUCUUGAAGUACAGUGUGUUGCAGUGGAAUAGCACUGUACCUAGAGUGAGGAGAACAGGGCUCAUGUCACAGCACUACCACUUCCACCUCUGCAACACUCAAUGACCCUUCUGGGCCUUAGUUUCCUCAUCAGUCAAGUGAGGAGGCUGAAUUCUAUUUGACUACUAAGCUUCCUCCAGCUCUUAUAAUCUAGGAUCUAAGUCAGUGGUGUUCAAGGGCUCUUCCAUGGGAUCAAAAUAUUUAAAAGACUUCACCCAACUCCACAUGUUGGGACCUGUACUUUUACCGUUAUGUCAGGAAUAUACAUGAUGAUGAAAGCCUUCUAUACAUUUAAUAGUUAUUUUGGGAGUUCCCACUGUGCUGCAGUGGGUUAAUAAUUUGACUGCAGCAGCUCAGGUAUCUGUGGAGGCACGUGUCUGAUCCCCCACCCAGUGCAAUGGCUUAAAGGAUCUGGCUUUCCUGCAGCAUAGAUCACAGCUGCAACUUGGAUUCAGUACCUGGCCUGGGAACUUCCAUAUACUAUGGGUGCAGCCAUAAAAAUAAAUAAAUAAAUAAAUAAAUAAAUAAAUAAAUAAAUAAAUAAUAACAAUUAUUUUGAACACAUUUAUACUUAAUACAGUAGCUAUAUUCAUCACAAGAAGAGAAAGCAUGGUUUGGGAAUGUUGUUUGAACUCAAAGCUAUUAUCACUGUCCAAAUGGACUCAAUGACGCUGAGGAACCUUGGGGGUUUGUGACCCACAAGUUAGGAGAUGACUGAUCUCAGACAUGAGAUGGGAAGAGCAGUGUCUUUUCUGUGCUUUGUGGAUACAUUGUACCGUAGUAAUCGCUACAAGGUAGUAUGCUCUUAAUUCAAAAUUGUCAGGUAUAAAAACAAACACAGAAACAAAAAAAUAGCAUUUCUCCUUCCAAGAAAAACCUUAGCAUUAAACGUUCCAAUAUUUGAAAAUAUGUCUAAAUUUCGGGAUUAUUAAGAGAUUGUAAUAGAUACAAACUAGGUUAAUUACAGAGAUACAGUAUGUGGCAAACUCCCUAUUAUUCUAAAUUGAGAGGAAGUUUAAUCCUGAUGACUCAAGACCAAAACUUCUUCUGAAAGCCUACAAAAGGUUGAGGCUGUUGUUGUCGCCGCUGUUGGCAACCAACACAUGGCUUUCCACCUUCUUUUAACUCUGGUCACUCAUCCAGGCAAGAUAACUUAUUCUCUCUCUCUCUCUUUUGUUUUGUUUUGUUUUUGGGGGGAUUUGGGGGGUUUUUUGUUUGUUUUUUGGGUUUUUUUGUCUUUUUAGGGCCACAUCCAUGGCAUCUGGAAGUUCCCAGGAUAGGGGUCAAAUCAAAGCUGUAGCCACUGACCUAUGCCACAGUCACAGCAAUACCAGAUCUGAGCAGUGUCUGUGACCCAUACCACAGUUCAUGGCAAUGCCAGAUCCUUAACCCACUGAGUGAGGCCAGGGAUCAAACCUGAGUCCUCGUGGAUUCUAGUCAGGUUUGUUACCAUUAAGUGAUAACAAGAACUCCAAGAGGACUUAUUUUCUCAUAAUUAAUUUGUCAGUGGGGAAAUUUUUUAAAGUUAAUUUUGGCUUGAAACUUUAUAUUGGCUAUCCAUUGCAGAAGAAAUAUUUAGAGGACUGGUAUUUAAAAAAAAAAAAAGAGGAAGGGGAAGAUAUAUAUAUAUUUAGACUUACAUAUGUAUUAAGGUAUAAGAGAUAUAGAUAUAAAUAUACCUAAAAUAAUAAGAAUCAGGUAAAAACAGCCAGUAUGCUGAAAUACACCUUAAAAAGAAAAUUAUAGACCAAAAAUACACAAUCACUAUGAAAUUUUAUUAAGAAUUCAAAUGCUGUUUUUCUCCAAGAAUCUUUUGAAGUUAUCUUUUGUUUAAACUACUGACUUUCACAAAUUUUAAGAACAGAUUUUUAAAAGUCUUAGUUUUGACAUAAGACAAAAUCCUAUCCUGCAUUUUCAGUUCUCACUUUAUUUUUUGCUUUUCCUUUUAUUUACCUAAUACUCUUAUUUGUGCUUAUCAAAUGUUUUCAACUCGGACUUUUGUCUGGAAAAAAAAAGAUUCACCUAUUCGUACAUUCAAUUUUAAUAAUUUUUACUUUCAAUUAAUAAAUCCAAUUUUAAUAAUUUGAGGCAGGAGGAAAAUUGGCCUGCAUAUUUGAGUUUUUUAAAUAAGUUCAUUUAGGAGUUCCCACUGUGGUGUAAUGAAUUAAGGAUCUGAUGUUGUCACUACAGCAGCUGGGGUUGCUGCUGUGGCACAGGUUCGAUCCCUGGCC
rnacentral:lncRNA from 1 species